UGUUUCUUCGUACUAUAGGUAUAUGGAUAUCACUAUACGUAAUCUAUUUAUUUUCAGAAUUUUAUUAACUUACGUUUUACUUCAUCGGAAAAACCAAGUGUAAUGUUACGCCUAGAAACAUCCAACGUAUCGUGACCAAAAUAGAAUAAUUAUAACCUGCUUCAUAAAAACACGAAUACACCUAUACAUGUAAGUACUUAUAUACUUCUAUUGUUAUAUUACGUUUGUAUAUAACACGUGAGAAACAGGUCUACGUCAAUCAGUCGCAUCUCAUCGCUUGAAGCUAAUCGUUUUCAAAUUAGUUUUCUGUACCACAAAGUAUUUUUAUCGUUCUUCAUAAUAGUGUGUUAAUAUUGAUAACAAUUCAUUAAAUUGACUUCAAUGUGCGUUAUUUAUUUUGUUAAUUAAAGUAAAGUAAAUAGAUCUAUCUAUCAAUGAAUGACUGUGACCUAUUUUUGUUACAACAGAAUGGAAUAGUGCUAAAAUAAUUCAUAGUUUUGAAGUCAUAAAUGCUGGUUUAAACAGUGUAAGAUGAUUGGUUUAAGAUGUAUAAUUUUUGUGUGCUAGUUGAACAAAUUAGUGGCACAGAUAAUCAAGGUGAAGAAGUUAUUUAAACACUUGAUGUGUUGUGAUACACUGCAUUCGUAGUUGUGUGUGUGUGUCGACAACAUGAUUCGCUUGACAGUCUUAUUUGUUUUGUUCACUAUCGUCUUAAGUUUACAAGAAUUGUAUGCGGAAUGUCCACCAGGCCAGUACGAUCCUGGCCCUGACUGUUCCUUCGAGGUCAUCUGUGGUCUUCCAAGCGCCCAUUCAGCAAGACGACACUACUGCGACUGCUGGUGUAACCCUGGGACCGUCCGAGACAGCAUCACCAAUGAAUGUGUGGAAAAAUGUCCCUAAUUUAACGAACAUUUAUUUCUAAGUGUACCUAAGUAUGUUUAAUUUAAGUUAUUUAAAUAUUUAAUGAGGGUUUA